rnacentral:rRNA from 1 species
CACGUAGGGUGCGAGCGUUGUCCGGAAUUAUUGGGCGUAAAGAGCUCGUAGGCGGUGUGUCGCGUCGGCCGUGAAAACCUGCAGCUUAACUGUGGGCUUGCGGUCGAUACGGGCAUCACUGGAGUUCGGCAGGGGAGACUGGAAUUCCUGGUGUAGCGGUGAAAUGCGCAGAUAUCAGGAGGAACACCGGUGGCGAAGGCGGGGUCUCUGGGGCCCGAUACUGACGCUGGAGGAGC